rnacentral:rRNA from 1 species
GACGAACGCUGGCGGCGUGCUUAACACAUGCAAGUCGAACGGAAAGGCCCUUCGGGGUACUCGAGUGGCGAACGGGCGAGUAACACGUGGGCGAUCUGCCCUGCACUUUGGGAUAAGCCUGGGAAACCGGGUCUAAUACCGAAUAGGACCGCAUGCUUCAUGGUGUGUGGUGGAAAGCUUUUGCGGUGUGGGAUGGGCCCGCGGCCUAUCAGCUUGUUGGUGGGGUAAUGGCCUACCAAGGCGACGACGGGUAGCCGGCCUGAGGGGGUGACCGGCCACGUGGGGAGUGAGUUACGCCCCAGACUCCUGCGGGGGGCAGGGGUGGGGAAUAUUGCACAAGGGGCCCAAGCCUGAUGCAGCGACGCCGCGGGGGGGAUGAGGGCCUUCGGGUUGAAAACCUUUUUCAGCAGGGACGAAGCGCAAGUGACGGUACCUGCAGAAGAAGGACCGGCCAACUACGGGCCAGCCGCCGCCGUAA